rnacentral:sRNA from 1 species
GUCCUCCCACCCAGGAACACCCUCUGCCUAAUGACAGGACCUUCCUGGGAAGCAUCUUGACAGCAGUGGCAGAUGAAGAGCCAGAAUCAACUCCUGUGCCCUUGCUUGGAAGUGACAAGAGUGCUUUCACCCGAGUAGCAUCAAUGGUUUCCCUUCAGCCCGCAGAGACCCCAGGCAUGGAGGAGAGCCUGGCAGAAAUGAGUAUUAUGACUACUGAGCUUCAGAGUCUUUGUUCCCUGCUACAAGAGUCUAAAGAAGAAGCCAUCAGGACUCUGCAGCGAAAAAUGUGAGUGGGAUGCAGUUUUGGUGACAGAGGGACAGUGAGACAUCCUCUUAUGCCAAGGGUCCAACUGACCCCUGAGAGGACAGGAAUGUUGCUAAAUUCUUCCUUCCUUCAGUUGUGAGCUGCAAGCUAGGCUGCAGGCCCAGGAAGAACAGCAUCAGGAAGUCCAGAAGGCAAAGGAAGCAGACAUAGAGAGGCUGAACCAGGCCUUGUGCUUGCGCUACAAGAAUGAAAAGGAGCUCCAGGAAGUGAUACAGCAGCAGAAUGAGAAGAUCCUAGAACAGAUAGACAAGAGUGGCGAGCUCAUAAGCCUUAGAGAGGAGGUGACCCACCUUACCCGCUCACUUCGGCGUGCGGAGACAGAGACCAAAGUGCUCCAGGAGGCCCUGGCAGGCCAGCUGGACUCCAACUGCCAGCCUAUGGCCACCAAUUGGAUCCAGGAGAAAGUGUGGCUCUCUCA